rnacentral:rRNA from 1 species
UAACCUGCCCAAGAGAUCGGGAUAACACCUGGAAACAGAUGCUAAUACCGGAUAACAACAGAUGAUGCCUAUCAACUGUUUAAAAGAUGGUUCUGCUAUCACUCUUGGAUGGACCUGCGGUGCAUUAGCUAGUUGGUAGGGUAACGGCCUACCAAGGCGAUGAUGCAUAGCCGAGUUGAGAGACUGAUCGGCCACAUUGGGACUGAGACACGGCCCAAACUCCUACGGGGAGGCAGCAGGC